AACGAACGCUGGCGGCAUGCCUAACACAUGCAAGUCGAACGAGAUCUUCGGGUCUAGUGGCGCACGGGUGCGUAACGCGUGGGAAUCUGCCCUUUGGUUCGGAAUAACAGUUGGAAACGACUGCUAAUACCGGAUGAUGACGAAAGUCCAAAGAUUAAUCGCAAGAGGAUGGGCCGACGAGGGAUAAGCGAGUUGGUGGGGUAAAGGCGCACCAAGGCGACGAUCCUUAGCUGGUCUGAGAGGAUGAUCACCCACACUGGGACUGAGACACGGCCCAGACUCCUACGGGAGGAAGCAGUGGGGAAUAUUGGACAAUGGGCGAAAGCCUGAUCCAGCAAUGCCGCGUGAGUGAUGAAGGCCUUAGGGUUGUAAAGCUCUUUUACCCGGGAUGAUAAUGACAGUACCGGGAGAAUAAGCUCCGGCUAACUCCGUGCCAGCAGCCGCCGUAA
rnacentral:rRNA from 1 species